GAACGCGAAGAACCUUACCAGGUCUUGACAUCCCUCUGACCGCUCUAGAGAUAGAGUUUUCCUUCGGGACAGAGGUGACAGGUGGUGCAUGGUUGUCGUCAGCUCGUGUCGUGAGAUGUUGGGUUAAGUCCCGCAACGAGCGCAACCCCUAUUGUUAGUUGCCAUCAUUCAGUUGGGUACUCUAGCGAGACUGCCGGUAAUAAACCGGAGGAAGGUGGGGAUGACGUCAAAUCAUCAUGCCCCUUAUGACCUGGCUACACACGUGCUACAAUGGCUGGUACAACGAGUCGCAAGCCGGUGACGGCAAGCUAAUCUCUUAAAGCCAGUCUCAGUUCGGAUUGUAGGCUGCAACUCGCCUACAUGAAGUCGGAAUCGCUAGUAAUCGCGGAUCAGCACGCCGCGGUGAAUACGUUCCCGGGUCUUGUACACACC
rnacentral:rRNA from 1 species